UACGGAGGGUGCGAGCGUUGUCCGGAAUCACUGGGCGUAAAGGGCGCGUAGGCGGCCUGAUAAGUAGGGUGUGAAAUCCUGAGGCUUAACCUCAGGGCUGCCUUCUAAACUGUCAGGCUCGAGCACAGUAGAGGCAGGUGGAAUUCCCGGUGUAGCGGUGGAAUGCGUAGAGAUCGGGAAGAACAUCAGUGGCGAAGGCGGCCUGCUGGGCUGUUGCUGACGCUGAGGCGCGACAGCGUGGGGAGCAAACAGG
rnacentral:rRNA from 1 species